AAAAAGGUGAUUUACUUACCUUAUUUCCAGCGCCAUGUUGGUCUCCUUGCGGCUGGCCCUGCACUGCUCCACCCCCUUGGCAGAGAUCAUCAAAUUUGAUGAUCUCAGCCAAUUCAAUGCUUUCCUGCAUUAUGCGGCACUGCACCAAUCAGCAUCUCAUAGAGAUGCAUAGAAUCAGUGCAUCUCUAUGUGGAGCAUCAGUGCUGCCCCUGUGCAGCAUUGACACAGGAAGCACCUCUAGUGUAAGCACUGCCUCUGAAAAGGCAGUGUCUACUUUAAAAAGCCUGCUGGAACAGGCUUUAGACACCAGAACACAUACAUUAAGCUGUAGUGGUUAUGGUGACUAUGAUGUCCCUUUAAAUACGUUUUGGAACAUAGAAGCAGGACUUGCUUCGUUUAUGGAAGGGAGGGAGAGAUGGAUGUUUAGUUUGUUGGUUUCUAGGAAACACAGAUGACUAUAGUACUAACCUCGUAUGUUUUAUACAUUUUAGCUCUAUCCGCAUGUAUUGCUGAAAGUGAUUUCUGUGAUUAUUCUGAACGUAUGAUAACCUUCUCACAGGGACAUAGAAAAAGAAAUUACACAAUGUGGCAAUUGGUGUGUUUGUAAAUCCUGAUUACAUGUAUCCUGAUAUCAAAUCAAUUAGCUUUCCGCAUGACAAAUAAUAGGCAGUAUGGAGUUAGCUGGCUUUUCACACUUAGUUCCCUGAUUACACUCAGAAGCAAAUUGCUUGGAUUUUAGCUCUGAUGGAACUGAGCAGUGCUGUAUCUAGUAAUUAAUUGAAAAUCCAGCUUUAGUGCUUUGUCUUGUCACAGCAAUGCGACUCUGCUCUGAUCAGAUCUAUCUGCAAAUGAUAAGCAAUGCUGGCUGAAUGUUCCCAUUUUAAAUCUGUGAUUACAGAUGUACAACAAGGAAACACUGUACUGAACUGCAUCGAGGCAUGAUUCUGCCGAGCGUACAUAUUGCCCUUUCUAUUAACCCUGCUGUUUCCUAUACCAACCAUUGAUUUUAACAGAGUUACGUAGCAAUCUGGGGCUUACCUAGAAAAUUUGGCACCGGGGGCGGAUCCUGUAUUUGGCAACACCACCCAGCCCCAAAUUAAAAUGUAAAAAACAGCCCCUCUGUCUCUUUGUCUCCCCAGGCCUUCUGUGUGGGUCUGUUUGUCCCCCCAACCCUUCUGUGGGUCUUUUUGUCCCCCCAACCCUUCUGUGGGUCUUUUUGUCCCCCUGCUGCACCUAUGUGUGUCUCUUUGUGCCCCUCAGCCCUUUAGUGUGUCUCUUUGUGUCCCUCAUUGUGUCUGUUUGUCCCCCAUCCUGUUUGAGUGUCUCUUUGUCCCUCAGCCCUUUCGUGGGUCUCUUUGUACCCCUCCAGCCCCUCUGUUUUUUUCUUUGUCCCACUCAGCCCCUCUGUAUGCCUCUUUGUGCCCCCAGCCACUCUGUGUGUCUCUUUGCCCCCUCUGUGUGUCUGUUUGUCUCACCAGCCAUUCUGUCUGUGUAGAUGUUUACCAGUCCCUCUGUCUUUGUCACACCUCUGCCCCUCAGUGUGUCUCAUUCACCCUCACCAGCCCCUCCAUGUGUCUGAUUACCACCCCAAUGUGUCUCAAUAACCCCCUAUCCCCUCCAUGUGUCUCAUUAUACCCCCAGUACCUCCAUGUGUCUCAUUAUACUCCCCCAGCCCUUCUAUGUGUCUCAUUAACCCCCACAGCCCCUCUAUGUGGCUGACCUGGAGACCGCAGUGGAGGAGCUUCUGUUUCUCUCUCUGGUCUGACAGGAAGCCGUUCUGUGCUCUCUGUGAACACUUCCUGUCAGAAAGGGUAGGGGAGCAGAAGCU
rnacentral:lncRNA from 1 species